rnacentral:lncRNA from 1 species
CUCUCUUUGCCUCCAAAGUUUUACCCCAAAAUUUGUCAUUCCCUAUCUAAAUUUUGCCGUCUUCCACUCUUCUUUGCCUCCAAAAAAAUUUUUCCCCAAAAGUAUUCAUUCCCUCCCUUUGUUGCAUCUGCAUAAUUGGCCUAAACCUAAUUCAAACGCUUCAAUUGAUGCGAAUUUCGACUUCAUCUACAGAUCCAUUUCUAUGAUAUUCUUCAAUCUGUCUUCCAGGUAUGCCCAUUCCAAGAUUAUAUCAAAUAUUAAAGUUUGUAGUUUAUUCCGUUUAUAUAUGUCAUCGUCCAUUGUUUGUUACCUUGAAGACAUAACAAUUAGCUUUAUCACACUUCUCAAAAAUUACUCCAUAUCUGUUGGGUCAAAAAGGAAGAUGAAAAUCUCAUAAUUGUUCUUGAUGAAUAUGGAUAGUUAUAUAGAAUAUUCUAUAGAAUAAUUGUACAAAAAAAUUGUUUGCUGUCAUUUAUGAGAUUGAACAAUCUCAUAAACGAAUUAUGAGAUUGAAUAAUUGUGCAUUACUGAAAUAUAAUUAUGGCUCUUCAAUCUCAUGUUUGUUCAAUAGACCAUAGGCAAUUAUGGAACAAUCUCAUAAUUAUGGCUCUUCAAUUUCAUAAUUGCUCAGUAGACCACAUGUAAUUGUUUGCUUUCAUUUUUGGUAAGAGAUAAAAUUGUGAAUCUUAAUUUUUUUUGUUUUUUUUUUUUUUUUUGGGAAGUCUACCCCUUUUAUUCAUUCAUGGCUUUUGAGAAAGAAUUUUUUUUUUAAAAUUUUUUUCUUGCAUAUUGUUUCUAAAUAUGUCAUGUUAAUGGUAAAAAUUAUUGAUCUUUGUAUAUUGAAUUGUUAAUAGUGAAAAAUUAUAUUCUCAUGUUUAUUUUUGACCUAAUCUUUUACUGAAUUGUUUCUCAAUUGAAUAAAAUAUUUUGAUUAUUAGUUAAAAAUUUAAAAUGUUUUUGGGAAUUAAUUAUAUUUCUUAGCUUGUGCUAUAUCUCUUAGGUACAGUUGUGUUAUCUCUUGCAAAUUUUUAUUUUAUGGAUUGUUUUAUAUAUCUUGUUGGUUGUGUUUGUAGGAAGAGAGGCUUGGCAAAGAGUAUGAAUAUUUUGUAGAGAGGGCAAACGAGCAGCAACUUCCCAAAGAUACCCCUUUGGAGAAGAUACAUGUAGAUGAUCCUGAUGCUAAAAUUAAUAUUAUGAUAUCCGUUCUAGGUAUGAAGCCUGAGCGUCAAAUUCUUAGGUUAGGAGAUGGACGCCUUCGAGAGAUUGGUAUAUCUUCUUCCAAUUUACACAAAUGGGAGAAGGAGUUGGAAGUAGAAUGUGCUGCUCGUAAGGUAGCCAAUGCAGCUCGAGUAAACAUGGAGAAAAAUAUGCAAAACAAUCUAAAGGUUGUUGAGCAAUAAUUCAAUUCUACAUUACAGUGUUGGCAUCAUUCUAUACAACAGUUAUGUGGUAAAUUUAUUGGCUUCAUUGCAUUUAUACCAUUGUCAGUAGAGAAUAAUGGUAAUGGGAAAGAUGAUGCUCUUGGGGAUGAAGAGAAUAACUUUGGUGAGAAUCAGCACAUAUCUAAUUCACGGGAAUAAAGAGUCAUGUUUUUUAUAUGCAUAACAAUAGAUAUAUAUAGCAUGUUUGCUCUACUCGUUUUAAUUUAGAUGUAAUUAUACUUGGUGAAUGUCAUUUAUUCGUGUUUUGUUA